AACAGCGUGGCGGAAUUGGUAGACGCUAAUUUAGGGGUGUGAAUCGUAGAGUAGAUUGAUUACCUCGUUGCAAAGGUUAAAUCCCACCGAAUUGAAAACAUCAAUCGUGCAGGUUCGAGUCCUGCCGCUGUUG
rnacentral:tRNA from 1 species